GGGACCCAGGGGGAGGUAAGUGAAUCAUGGGGGCUCGUCUUUCCCAUGCUAUUCUCAUGAUAGUGAAUAAGUCUCAUGAGAUCUGAUGGGUUCAUCAGGGGUUUCUGCUUUUGCUUCUUGCUCAUUCUCUCUUGCUUCCACGAUGUAAGAAGUGCCUUUCACCCUCUGCCAUGAUUGUAAGACCUUCCCCUGCCACGUGGAACUCUGGAUCCAUGGAGAAAUAAAAUGUAUUAAUGCCUAUCUUUGGACUACAAAUCCAGUGGCCAUAUCUACUGAAAAAGGACAAAUCAGAAUCAGCCACCAGAAGUUCUUCUUCAUAGACUAUCAUCUGACCUGUUUCCUCCCCUGUGCCUCCUUUGCUUAAGCUCCCAGUUUGAUUUCUGGGUUGCAACACAAACCUGAGAAGGAGGGUAUUCCUGGACCUGACUUACUUCACCAGUGUAUGAAAUUCCAUAGAAGUGUGACCUGAAAGAAAAUCUGAAGGUUAUAUGCCAGGGAGGAUGAUUCCAGGAAAACACAAUCAGAAGACAUAAAGAGCAAAUUCCAGAAGAAUAAAAUCAAGAAGCCAUGACGCAUAAUAUGUCAAGGCUUUCCACAUUACAUACACAGAAAAAAAAAAAACACAUACUCCUUAAGUUUUGUCUCAACAGUGCUAUGGGUUUUAAUAUGGCUCAGAUCAACAUGUCUCUUUUUUAAGGUAAUUUGAAUAAAAGAGAAAACUAAAAUAGCUUGCAGACCCAAAUGUAAAUUAGACUUCAGCAAAUAUCUGAAUAAAUACAGCAUCUGUUUCUCCAACACCUAAAAUUAGAGCCAUUGAAAAUUUGCCUUCAUUCAUACUAGAUUGGAUUAUUAGACAUAAGGCAACUCUAUUUCCAGGCUAAUGCAAAUGAUACCUGAGCAGUCUGUUCUAAUUGUAGUUCACAGUAGACCACUCCCAUUUUAAAUGACCUUAGUAUUAAUAUUUUAUUUUUAUAUUUUUAUGCAUUGUAUUUUACUACAUUAAGCCAAUAGGCUUUUUAAACCUUAAGGAGGAAACUAUAAUUUCAAAUUAUACUUAAUUAUCUAUUAUCAAUAUUUACCUUAAUUUUCAAUUUUUGGAAGAUAGCAGCAACAUGAAAAAUGGUCAAUAAACUUCAUUGUCAAGGUCAACAAUUUUAGUAUUAAAGUCAAUUUACAGUAUGUUUGCUUGAGAUAUACAUAAAUUUGAAGCGGCAGUAAGUAUAAACAGAAUAGCUGAUUUCUUGGAUGCACUCCAAUACAAUUAUAGCUACUCACCCUUGUGACUAUAUGUGCGUUUGCAGCUUCAGGCUGUUUCCCGGAGCCAAGCCACACUAGCAGUAUUUUUAGAUAUGUGUGCAAUUAAUCGAAACGCAAAAUCUCUGUAAACUGGAAAAAAUACUAUUUAAAAUAAAUAGUAGAUAAACAUGUAGUUUGGCAUUCUUGUCAAUUCUUAACUUGUAAUCUCCUGACUUGGAAUUGAGUUACCCCUAAGUAUUUAAUCACAAAAUGGUAUUUCUAAUAGGCAAUUGUAAAAAAGAAUCAUCAAUCACAUUUAUUACAAACAUCUCAUAAAAUAGUAAAAAUGUUUAUGAGAUUGUAGAAGGCAGCUAGGUUGUUCUGUGAUGUAUAAAGAUUUGCAUAUAUAAAAAAACAGCAGGCAGCAAACAAGGUUUGUUUCUCUAUUUUCCAAAAAGUAAAAUUGCGUUUGAUAUAGUUAUCUAUUUAAUUUUUAUUAAAAUAUAUUGAAUAUUUUUCUGACAAUGGCAUUGAUUAUCACUACAACCUAAGAAGUUUACAUUUUGAAAUCAGCUCAAAUCUUAAUAUGUAGAAAAGAACUAUUUCUCCAGACUCAAUGGUUAAUCAGAGCUCCUCAAACAUAUUUGUAAUGGUAAAUGAUAUUACCUUGUAUUUCAUGCAGUUAUAUACAUAUGUGAAGUUUUUGUUGUUUUUAUUAUUGUUCUGCUUUCUAUGAUGAACAUAUUUAAGUGACAAUAGUAUUCUCAAAAUAAUUCUGUUUAUAGUUUACAUAGCUGGCAUUGUUUGCAUGUGGGUAAAAAUAAAAUGUUAUUUUAUGGAGAGAUAGUGGAGUUCUUUUUAUCUGUAGCCUUAAGGCUGCCAACUGUCGAUACCUUAAUCCACUAAUCCCCUCUGUAAUCAUGUGUUCACGUGCUGUGCAAACACUCACAAAUCAUUUUAAGAAACUCUUUUUUUUCCUAGUCAAGAGUACACUCACUAUAGGUUGUAUAUUGUAAAAUUGCCAAUAAAAUUUUUGAAUAUUUA
rnacentral:lncRNA from 10 species